GCCCCAGACUCCUACGGGAGGCAGCAGUGGGGGAUAUUGCACAAUGGGGGGAACCCUGAUGCAGCGACGCCGCGUGGGUGAAGGAGCGUUUCGGCGCGUAAAGCCCUAUCGGCAGGGAAGAAGGAGGACGGUACCUGACUAAGAAGCCCCGGCUAACUACGUGCCAGCAGCCGCGGUAAUACGUAGGGGGCAAGCGUUAUCCGGAUUUACUGGGUGUAAAGGGGGCGCAGACGGCAGCGCAAGCCAGAUGUGAAAGCCCGGGGCUCAACCCCGGGACUGCAUUUGGAACUGUGUGGCUGGAGUGUCGGAGAGGCAGGCGGAAUUCCUAGUGUAGCGGUGAAAUGCGUAGAUAUUAGGAGGAACACCAGUGGCGAAGGCGGCCUGCUGGACGAUGACUGACGUUGAGGCUCGAAAGCGUGGGGAGCAAACAGGAUUAGAUACCCCUGUAA
rnacentral:rRNA from 1 species